AUUGAACGCUGGCGGCAUGCUUUACACAUGCAAGUCGAACGGUAACAGGCCGCAAGGUGCUGACGAGUGGCGAACGGGUGAGUAAUGCAUCGGAACGUGCCCAGUCGUGGGGGAUAACUACUCGAAAGAGUAGCUAAUACCGCAUACGAUCUAUGGAUGAAAGCGGGGGACCGUAAGGCCUCGCGCGAUUGGAGCGGCCGAUGUCAGAUUAGGUAGUUGGUGGGGUAAAGGCUCACCAAGCCAACGAUCUGUAGCUGGUCUGAGAGGACAACCAGCCACACUGGGACUGAGACACGGCCCAGACUCCUACGGGAGGCAGCAGUGGGGUAUUUUGGACAAUGGGCGCAAGCCUGAUCCAGCAAUGCCGCGUGCAGGAAGAAGGCCUUCGGGUUGUAAACUGCUUUUGUACGGAACGAAACGGCUCUGGUUAAUACCCGGGGCUAAUGACGGUACCGUAAGAAUAAGCACCGGCUAACUACGUG
rnacentral:rRNA from 1 species